AGAGUUUGAUCCUGGCUCAGAUUGAACGCUGGCGGCAUGCCUUACACAUGCAAGUCGAACGGCAGCACGGGAGCAAUCCUGGUGGCGAGUGGCGAACGGGUGAGUAAUGUAUCGGAACGUGCCCAGUCGUGGGGGAUAACGUAGCGAAAGCUACGCUAAUACCGCAUACGAUCUAUGGAUGAAAGCGGGGGACCGCAAGGCCUCGCGCGAUUGGAGCGGCCGAUAUCAGAUUAGGUAGUUGGUGGGGUAAAGGCCUACCAAGCCGACGAUCUGUAGCUGGUCUGAGAGGACGACCAGCCACACUGGGACUGAGACACGGCCCAGACUCCUACGGGAGGCAGCAGUGGGGAAUUUUGGACAAUGGGCGCAAGCCUGAUCCAGCAAUGCCGCGUGCAGGAUGAAGGCCUUCGGGUUGUAAACUGCUUUUGUACGGAGCGAAAAGGCUUCCACUAAUACUGGAGGCUCAUGACGGUACCGUAAGAAUAANCACCGGCUAACUACGUGCCANCAGCCGNGGUAAUACNUANGGUGCAAGCGUUAAUCNGAAUUACUGGNCGUAAAGCAGGAUUANAUACCCUGGUAGUCCACGCCCUAAACGAUGUCAACUGGUUGUUGGGUCUUCACUGACUCAGUAACGAAGCUAACGCGUGAAGUUGACCGCCUGGGGUAGUACGGCCGCAAGGUUGAAACUCAAAGUGAAUUGACGG
rnacentral:rRNA from 1 species